rnacentral:lncRNA from 1 species
CCUUGGGGUUGAUGGGACUGGUGGGGCCGUUGCUAUUGUUCCCCCGCAGAGUAUCUGCCAAACCAAAUGGGAGAAACUCAGAGAAAGCCAGGGCCUGGUAUCCAGGGGCUCCAGCUUGGUCAUUGCUCAAAAGCCUCCUUUUGAAUGUCCACUCUUAAGGAAGCCAAGUGGGAAGAUCCUUGCUGGUUUCUCCCUCUGAGGAAGAAGGAAAAUGCCAUGACUCCCACUAUGGCCUCUCUUGGAACCAUAUUUUGAGGAUCUGGGAGAAUACAGCAACUUAAUACACCAAUGAAUUCAU